rnacentral:rRNA from 1 species
UAUGUGAUCGUCUCUCGCAUAUCAAUAAGCGGAGGAAAAGAAACUAACAAGGAUUCCCUUAGUAACGGCGAGUGAAGCGGGAAGAGCUCAAAUUUGAAAUCUUCAAGGUUUUACCUUGACGAAUUGCAGUUUAAAGAAGUGUUUUCUGUUGAAGUUUUGGUAAAAGUUCUUUGGAAUAGGACAUCAUAGAGGGUGAGAAUCCCGUAUUUGACCAUUAUUUUCAGCUGUGUGAUACACUUUCAAAGAGUCGGAUUGUUUGGGAAUGCAGUCCAAAAUGGGUGGUAAGUUUCAUCUAAAGCUAAAUAUUGGCGAGAGACCGAUAGCGAACAAGUACCGUGAGGGAAAGAUGAAAAGAACUUUGAAAAGAGAGUUAAACAGUACGUGAAAUUGUCAAAAGGGAAGCGUUUGACACCAGUGUUGUUUUCUCGAAAAUCAAUUAAAAAGAGUUAGAUUUUGUUGUGUAUUGACCUUAACAGCUUGCAUUUCAAUUUUCUUGCUUUUUUUAAUGCACUUUUCGUUUAACAAGUCAACAUCAGUUUCUUUUGUUGUAAAAAGGUCAUUGGAAGGUGGCUUUCUUUUCGGAGAAAGUGUUUAUAGCCUUUGACUCCUGCAAUCGGAGAGACUGAGGUCUGCAGCGUAGAUCCUUCGGGGUUAGAUACAUUUGUGCUAAGUUAUAGCUUUUUAUAGACAACUUGUUGACUAUGAUUAGUCUUGUAGCUUACUCGCUUAUGCUAUUUUACCUACGCUUAGGAUGUUGAAGAUGUAGCACAUCAU